UGGGAGAUAGUUUAAGGGCAAAACAACGGGUUCUGGCCCCGUCAAUCUUGGUUCGAAUCCAGGUCUCCCAG
rnacentral:tRNA from 1 species